GUAGGUGAACCUGCGGAAGGAUCACUAAAGUAAACGCCCUCCGGGGCUCUCUUUAUUCACACACCCCUGUGCACUUUGGCCACCUGCCGCGCUUCACUGCGUUAGUAGGUGUGUCUUUAUAAUUAUACCCAUAUACACAAGUCAUUGAAUGUAAAAUCGUUAUAAACUAAUAUAACUUUCAACAACGGAUCUCUUGGUUCUCGCAUCGAUGAAGAACGCAGCAUCUGACUGACUCUAGUGGUGGGUAUCU
rnacentral:misc_RNA from 1 species